GGCACCUUUCCUGAUCACUCUGAACUGUGGAGAAAAUGCAUUCAUAAAUGCUAAUAAACAAGGUUAUUUACUUCCUAGAUCUGCAGGCUAAUCACUAUGAAGAGAAAGUUUUUCCUUCUGAAAGUUAACAGCAUGGCAGUCCUGCCUUCCUGGACAUUGGACCUCACUGUAGACCUCAUCUGCCCAGUCCACCAGAGCUGACUUCACAUGCUGGGAAAGGCAUGUCCCUAUCUCACCAGGGAAUGAAGCCGAUGGCUACCCUCGCCUGGUUUAGCCCACCUGUCAAAACGGUAUACCAAGGUGUCACAGCUGCUUCGAGCCACAGCAUCUGCAGAACUUCGCUUGUUUAUAAUGUUCAGGAUGUUGGUAACUGAAGAUAUUCCAUUCAAUAUUCAUCAAGGAUAAAAUCAAGACUCCAAAGACCAGAACUGGAGGCCCAAAUGAAUGGUCCAACAUAGGAGGGCUGACACCUCACAUCAAGACUUGGCUGUAUAUCUACACCUGAACAACAAGGGACACUCCUUUGACGAUAACAAAGUGCACAUUUUGGGCAGGACAGUUUGCAGAGGGGGUUAAAAAAGCCAUCUUUGUCAAACAGGAAAACCCAUCCCUGAACAUUGAGGAACAUUUAGGUAGAUUUAGUUAUGA